rnacentral:rRNA from 1 species
AGAACGAACGCUGGCGGCAUGCCUAAUACAUGCAAGUCGAACGAACACUUCGGUGUUAGUGGCGCACGGGUGCGUAACGCGUGGGAAUCUGCCCUUGGGUUCGGGAUAACAGUUGGAAACGACUGCUAAUACCGGAUGAUGACGAAAGUCCAAAGAUUUAUCGCCCAGGGAUGAGCCCGCGUAGGAUUAGCUAGUUGGUGAGGUAAAGGCUCACCAAGGCGACGAUCCUUAGCUGGUCUGAGAGGAUGAUCAGCCACACUGGGACUGAGACACGGCCCAGACUCCUACGGGAGGCAGCAGUAGGGAAUAUUGGACAAUGGGCGCAGGCCUGAUCCAGCAAUGCCGCGUGAGUGAUGAAGGCCUUAGGGUUGUAAAGCUCUUUUACCCGAGAUGAUAAUGACAGUAGUCGGAGAAGUAACGCCCCGUCUAACCUCCGUCGCCAGCAGCCGC